rnacentral:lncRNA from 1 species
AGACAGUGAAAAUGACGAUCGACUAAAAUUAUAAUAACAUUCGUGGCAAACGAGUACAACACGAUGCAGCGCAGAGGCGUAUAUGGAUAGGGUACCUGAUCGUCGGUCCUGCAAACGGUCAUGACUAAUCCUGGCUUAACCGCGUGUCCCACGGGCUUAACAAAGCCGAACCGAGUCUGCAUAGGGAGAGCAAAGGGGCGGCGGUAGCGGUGGCGGCGAUGCCGACGUCGGGGAACCGGGAUAGGACGAGGACGAGGGAGAGGGAGAGGAGCAGAGCGAGUUAACAGUGGGCGACCCUGCUGCCGACUGCCGACUGCCGACAGCAUUCCUACAACAACGGUGGUGCGCCGUGCGCCGUACCUACCAUCGCAGUCGGUUGCCACGCCACGCCACGCCACACGACGCAAGAAGAUGGGAACGUGGCGCGGAACAACGCCGACGCCGACGACCCCGGUGGACCAACCGUGUCGACCCGACCCGAAAUCAGGAGAACGAGGAGGACCGUUUUCGAAUCAGGCGGAAGGAAGACGGUGCCCCACGUACACGCCGGGGUUAAGAGGAUCGUUCCAGUUGCCAUGGCAACUCCCGUUCCACGCUAGCCUCGUUUCCGGUUGAACCACCGGAAACACCGGGAAGUCUUGAAGGAGGCGAAGAGGAGGACGCGGCAGCAUCGUGCGACCGACGACCGUCGCGCAAACUCGAGUAACCGAAUUGACGCGUACUUACAACAGAGGGGAACGAUGUUGUACGAGGCUACACAUGCGUUAUUAUAGGUAUACGGUAUACACAUUCGCAAACAAUGAACGUACGUAUGUUCGUACCUACGUACCGCGUGUAUUUGGUAUUAUGCAGAGAAAGAGAAGAGGGGAACGACAAUGAGGGGAGAGGGAGCAAGUCGAUAUGCACAUGUCCGUGUAGGCAGUACACAUGCCUGUAAACCUACCUAUACCUGUGUACCUUCGCUGCACAUGCCCAGAGCUGCAGCAGAUUCUCGUGAACUUCGCCUGGCCGUGCGGCAAACUUUUAUGCUGGGUAGCUGGGCAUGCAUACACGGACAGGCACACAAAGACGGUUCUACACGGGGUAUAUAAGGUUAUAGGCGCGGCGACAAACGACGAUUGUCCGCAAAGGCGCAGCAGCCCCUCCAGCGAACCAAGGAGUUAAGGGUCGAAAUCACAUUGUCCCAAAAGGAACUACCGCACUGGAGCAGCUGCUAAUCAAAUCGGUCCGAAAAAGGUAACGGACGACGUGGUCUGAGGAACAAGGAUCCCUGCGUAACAACGUCCUGGGUUCGAGCCGAACGCAAAGGAACCCCAAGUUUCUUUGCUGCCGAGGAUGUCGUCGUGCAAACCUCGAUGAAACCUCGAUGACCAGCCGACUUCGCGAUCGUCGAGGUGCUGUUCGAGUGGACGAGGAACCAUCAGGCGACCAAAGCAACGGCGGCGACGACGACGACUAUCGAGUUACCACCGUCUUCGUACGUGUGUGUGAGUAAUAUAAGUUGGUGUACAUGCACGUAUAACAGAGCUAGACGUACACUCUGUGAACGGUUCCGUUCCACCUCGGUACGGCGCUCCGCUUUUAUCGCGAUAAAUGGAGCUUGUAGAGCUAACCGUACACACUAACGACGACGACGACGUAGUCGUAUGUACUUUCUAUAUACGGACGCAAUUGGGAGGAGAUUCAACAACGUGUAUAUAAGCAGUGGACGAUUAAACGUAGGACGGAAUUCACUUCCGCGAAGGUAUUACAAUAUCAUACAUUGGUACGUAUAUAAUACACAAACACCGCGAGUGGCCACCCGGAUUUCGCGGUAGUUGGUUUGAACCACUGCUAUCUUCACGUACGUGCAGUACUUGGAUGUACAUACCUAUAAUGCUUAAUGCCGAUAAGACAGCGACCAAGAAUUUCAAUCAAGUGUCCUGCAGCGAGGGUCGUCGACACGAAACCAAUGCCAGCUAACUGGAACGAGAGUCUCGAUCGAAGCGACGAUGGAAAUUCCCAUAACGAACCUACAAGAGACUUGCGUACGAACGUAAGUGAUCAAAAACUAAAAAAAAAAGAAAAAAAAUAAACGAACCAAGGAUGCAACACCUCCAGCAACUGGAGGAAGAAAAUAUUCACUCGGUCAAUUGGACGUUACGCAAGCUU